rnacentral:piRNA from 6 species
GGUUAGCACUCUGGACUUUGAAUCC